rnacentral:tRNA from 1 species
GGUGUUCUGAACACCAAGAACUGCUAAUUCUUCCUACUGAAGUUAAAAUCCUCAG